AUUUGUUCCCGAAACUGGUGACUGGCAAUAACCAAAGACUGUCAUUCGACUCUGAACUGCCUUGGUUGAGGAGCUGAUUGUGGGACCCAGUCGAGCUGAACAGAUGAAUCCCGAGCAGGCAGAGUGGGCUGCUCUCAGAGACGACUCAUAGGUGAAAAUUAAAUUCAAGCCCCGCGCGCUCUCUCUGUCAUUGAAAAAACCUUUAAAGAACAGCUUGUUGGUCCCGACCCUCAUGCAACAUCUUGGAAUUAGUGUUUGUGAGACCUUAUGGAAAAUAAGUCAUAUUUAUUCUUUUUUCUUCAUAUGACACCAAUACAAUAACAAAACUUUUCUGGUUCUUGAGUAAGAGAAAGUGAAGACAACCCUAACUCCAGAUGCAAGUAAGGAACCACCGAAAUUUGUAGGGUCUCCAGUCAAAUUGUAAGGAGAUGUGAAUCGUUUUUGUGCCUGUGGGCACAUGCCUUGGCCCCGACUUCAUAGUUUUAUUUGUUAAGAUUCGAAUCAAACGAGUGUGUUAUUUAUUAUAAAGUUUAAGUGCUACCCAAUUGUGGCCCGAAGGCCAGUGUCGUUGGAGAUAAAAUGUGAUUUUCAU
rnacentral:sRNA from 1 species